rnacentral:lncRNA from 1 species
CUCAGAGAUUGAAGUUUGUCGGAAUCCAGAACGGGGGCAAACUGAGCCCCUCCAGCUAGCUGCCUUUGAAGGCGGGCAACCUCGUCGAUCGCCAUCCUGAGCUUCCCCCUAUAUUCAUCCACCUGCCUGCGCCAGCCGGCCCGGUAUGCGUCAUAGCUCAUCUCGGCAUCCUGGAGCUGCUGCUGAAGGUCGGAGACCUUCUUCGACC